UACGGAGGGUGCAAGCGUUAUCCGGAUUCACUGGGUUUAAAGGGUGCGUAGGUGGGUUGGUAAGUCAGUGGUGAAAUCUCCGUGCUUAACAUGGAAACUGCCAUUGAUACUACUGAUCUUGAAUUUUCCGGAGGUAAGCGGAAUAUGUCAUGUAGCGGUGAAAUGCUUAGAUAUGACAUAGAACACCAAUUGCGAAGGCAGCUUACUACAGGGACAUUGACACUGAGGCACGAAAGCGUGGGGAGCGAACAGG
rnacentral:rRNA from 1 species